CGGUGCCGGUGACCUGGCUGAUACCGAUCAUGGCCAG
rnacentral:sRNA from 1 species